rnacentral:rRNA from 1 species
GACGAACGCUGGCGGCGUGCUUAACCCAUGCAAGUCGAACGGUGAAGCGCCUUCCCUUUGGUGGGUGUGGAUGAGUGGCGAACGGGUUAGCAUCACGUCAGUAACCUGCCCCCUUCUUCUGCAUAACCGCAUGAAUGUGUGG